GAAAAGGCUGGGAAAUUCCCCUGCAGGCUGAAGGGGAAUAAAAGCGAAUAGACAAGAGCAGAGGUUCUCACAAGGCCAGGAGAAGGAGCUGAAGCUGGGAGAAGGAGCCCAGGUCUUUAGUGUUGAAAGUGGAGCAGGUAGCCGUUUCUCAAUCAAAAUUAUUUUGGGGUAAUCUCCUUUGGAGGAUAAUUGGCAACUAUCACUCUACACGUUUCCCACUUCUUCAUCUAUAUUGCAGGAGAAGAUACCGGACACAAGAACAGGAAGGAAGAAAAGGAAGGAAGAAUUUGUUUCCCUUUCCCUUUCUGAAGAAUUUUCUAAAAGAAUAUCACAGAACUGGUGCUUUGGGUGUGAAUUAAACUUUUGUGCACUUUUUAAUGAUUUUUACAGAACCUAAGGAGAGUCACUGAAUAACAGAGCCAGCUCUUCUGUACUUUACUACCAAAUGCUCAUCACUGUGAUAUGUGAAAUUGAAGAUUUAUUUUUUUAGAUUACAACUACACUCUCGGAGAGUGCCGUACUCGGAGCAUACAGUCAUAGUUCACUUCCUGCAUUAUCUCCCAUUAUUGGGUAUCAUGCUAACCAAUGCAGAACACAUGUUUUGCCUUCUUGUGAGGGGAUUCCCCAGUUCAACAUUUUUAGUACUCUUGAUUUCAAAUAAAUUACUAGAGUGUCUACUGGGAGCUCAUCUCCUAUUAUAAAUUUAAACAUAUAAUGCAACAGUAAAACCAAAUCUUUACUCUCUCUCUCUCUCUCUCUCCACACACACACACACACACACACACACACACAAACAUCAAUUAUACAUGUAUAGGCUGAGUCUCCCUUACCCUAAAUUCCAAAA